rnacentral:tmRNA from 1 species
GGGGGCGUUUUUGGAUUCGACAGGGGUCCCUCGAGCACAUUAAGCGUGUCGGAGGGUUGUCUCCGACAUCAACACAUUUCAGUAAAUAUAACUGACAAAUCAAACAAUAAUUUCGCAGUAGCUGCGUAAUAGCACUCUGCAUCGCCUAACAGCAUCUCCUACGUGCUGUUAACGCGAUUCAACCCUAGUAGGAUAUGCUAAACACUGCCGUUUGAAGUCUGUUUAGAAGAAAUCCAAUCAAACUAGCAUAAUACUGGUUGUCUGUUGCUUACUAUUAUGCGAAAUUCA